rnacentral:lncRNA from 1 species
GCAGUAACAGAAGAUCAUGAGGAUGAACCAAUCCAGUAAAGACCCUUAAAAAUAUUUCUGUGGCCUUCUCUGCUUCACCUCCUCCAUUUAACUUCUCAGUAGGAGUUCUUCAGAAAAGUUGAUGAGACUGAAUGAGUGAAUGGAAAAGAACCCAUUGGCUGAGAGUCAAAGAAGGAUGGUUUGCCAUUCCAGCUGCUCCAACUAAGACUUCCGAGGUUCAGUCUAGAGAGAAAUCAAGUCCUGUGUUUCCCGGGUUCACCUUGAACAAGUCACCACUUUAUCCCUCCACAUCACUCUCGUUUUAGCAAUAAAAUAUCAA